rnacentral:rRNA from 1 species
UUGGAGGGCAAGUCUGGUGCCAGCAGCCGCGGUAAUUCCAGCUCCAAUAGCGUAUAUUAAAGUUGUUGCAGUUAAAAAGCUCGUAGUUGAAUUUCGGGAUUGACGUGAUGGUCAUGCCUUAAGGGGUAUGAACUGUCACUGUUGAUUUCUCACCUUCUGGAGAGACUUGAUGUCCUUUAUUGGGUGUCUUGCGGAUCCAGGACCUUUACCUUGAAAAAAUUAGAGUGUUUAAAGCAGGCAUUUUUGCUCGAAUACAUUAGCAUGGAAUAAUAGAAUAGGACGGCAUGGUUCUAUUUUGUUGGUUUCUAGGAUCACCGUAAUGAUUAAUAGGGAUAGUUGGGGGCAUUAGUAUUCAAUUGUCAGAGGUGAAAUUCUUGGAUUUAUUGAAGACUAACUACUGCGAAAGCAUUUGCCAAGGAUGUUUUCAUUAAUCAAGAACGAAAGUUAGGGGAUCGAAGACGAUCAGAUACCGUCGUAGUCUUAACCAUAAACUAUGCCGACUAGGAAUCAGACGAUGUUAAUUUUUUAAUGACUCGUUUGGCACCUUACGGGAAACCAAAGUGUUUGGGUUC